rnacentral:rRNA from 1 species
UACAGAGGUCCCGAGCGUUGUCCGGAUUUAUUGGGCGUAAAGAGCGUGUAGGCGGCCAGGUAGGUGGGUUGUGAAAACUGGAGGCUCAACCUUCAGACGUCGACCCAAACCCCCUGGCUAGAGUCCGGAAGAGGAGAGUGGAAUUCCUGGUGUAGCGGUGAAAUGCGCAGAUAUCAGGAAGAACACCCGUGGCGAAGGCGGCUCUCUGGGACGGUACUGACGCUGAGACGCGAAAGCGUGGGGAGCGAACAGG